rnacentral:tRNA from 1 species
GCAUGCAUGUUCAGUGGUAGAAUUCUCGCCUACCAAGAGUGGGAGGCCUGGGUUCAAUUCCCAGCCCAUGCA